UGCGCGAAAGCGUGACGGGGGAACCCCAAGUGCCGUUGGUCUUUGAUCGACGGCUUUUAGGGAGUCUAAGAAGCUCCCGGAAUAAGGGCUGGGCAAGUCGGGUGCCAGCCGCCGCGGUAAUACCCGCAGCCCAAGUGGUGGUCGCGAUUAUUGGGCCUAAAGCGCUCGUAGCCGGGUCAGCAAGUCCCUUGUGAAAUCGGGCGGCCUAACCGUUCGGCUUGCAAGGGAUACUGUUGGUCUUGAGGCCGGGAGACGUCUGAGGUACUCCGGGGGUAGCGGUAAAAUGCUGUAAUCCUCGGGGGACCACCAGUGGCGAAGGCGUCAGACGAGAACGGACCUGACGGUGAGGGGCGAAGGCUAGGGGAGCGAACGGGAUUAGAUACCCCGGUAGUCCUAGCUGUAAAGCAUGCGGGCCAGGUGUCUGGUGUUCCUUGAGAGCACCAAGUGCCGGAGGGAAGCCGUUAAGCCCGCCGCCUGGGAAGUACGGUCGCAAGGCUGAAACUUAAAGGAAUUGGCGGGGGGAACAC
rnacentral:rRNA from 1 species